UAAAAAAACUUUGGCAAAGGGUGAAGUCUACAACACGCAGUCCAAUCUGUUUGUUACAGAUUAUAGUUUUGGAAAUAGAAAUUAAAUGAAAUGUUUAAUCGACGAGACAUUUUGUUGAAUUUCGCGCCAUCUUCUCCUACUGCCGGCCAUUGGGCUUUCUCUCAUCAACAUAUUUGGUAGUGAGUGGAAUCGACGCCAAACGGAUGCUUCACGUUUAUACAUCCGCUGAAAUAUCUGGCUCAUUGUUUUAUGUGUGGCUUGGCAGUGCAAGGCCCGAAGAUGGCUGCAGGAUCAGGCGCGUCAAGCGGCCAAAGUCGUGGUUUGCCUGUGGCUCUGGAGUCAACUUUGGACCGACGGUUUCAAGGAGUGUCGAACACAAUGGAAUCAAUUCAAGGACUAUCAAAUUGGUGCAUUGAGAACAAGAAAUACCACAGCCUUAUCGUGCGUUACUGGAUUAAAUGGUUGAGGAAAUCUGAGGCUUCUCAUCGGCUCAAUUUGUUCUACCUCGCCAACGAUGUCAUUCAGAACUGUAAGAGGAGAAAUGCCAUCGUCUACCGUACUGCCUUCGCCGACGUACUCCCCGAGGCCUUCCAACUGGUCAAUAAUGUCGGAGACUCUAAGGUGAUGAAGUCGGUGGACAGGAUAUUAACCAUCUGGGAGGAGAGGAGUGUGUACACAGAGCAGCUUAUAGCUGAGCUGAGGUCCAGUCUUGUCAAAGAAGAGUCACCUGCUGCUGUGGAGACACCUAAAGUUCCAGUCAACCCUAAGGCUGCUCUUCAAUCUAAGAUUGUAGCUGAAUUUGUCCCCCAGGCUUUCAUAGAUCACCUCUCUAAGUACCACAGCUCUGUGGAGGAGGUGUCACUGAAGGAGAAACAGCUGGCAGCCAUGAGGGUGGACGUUUGCAGCACUGAGGCCCUCAAGAGACUGAAAGAUAAGGCAGGAGGAAAGAGGCACUCCAAGGACUUUGAGGAUGGCAGUGCGAAGUUAAAGGAGUUUGUUGCCUUCCUUGACCGGCAGAUCAAAGGAGGGCCCCCUCUGUUGGAUGCUCUUGGCAACGCAGAUAUUUUCUACGAGAUGCAGUAUAAGGAGGUCAAGAUAGUCGCCAAUGCCUACAAGACGUUUGCCAACCGGGUGUCCCACCUCAAGCGUAAGCUGGACAGCCUCAAGGCCACCUUACCAGACCUGGAUGAGUCGCCCAUCCCCUCGCCCUCGAUGGACGCCCCCUCUCCCAAUGGCUCAGAGUCCCCGUUCCAUGGCCUAGCUGACCCAGACUCUGACCUGGAUGGCCUGGCCAUGGAUGACGAGGCGGACAUCACUUUAGGGGAAGCACCAAGCCCCCUGUCCUCCCCUGGUGGCUCCCCCGAGCAGGGCUUCACCGUAGGGGAGUCAGACAACCGCGACGUGGAGGACAUGGAGCUCUCGGAUGAGGAGGCAGAGAACGUCAAUAUCAUAGUUGAGGAGCGAGUUGAAUGUCUCAUCCCAGCUCCAGUCCCCAUUCCUGUGCCUGUUGUCACACAACCGCCACUGGCCACACAGGCAAAGUCUGUUCCACAGGCCACACCCUCCCCAGCUCUCGUGACCCCUUUGACCCAUACAACCAACAUAUCAGGCAACCUCGCCAAUGUAGACCUGGGUAAAAUUAGCUCCAUUCUCAGCAGCAUCACAUCUGUCAUGAAGAAACCAGGAGUGAGUCCAGGUGGUUCUUUGGUCUCCCCCUCUCCAGCCAAGACCAUCCCUCCUGCCCCAGUAGCCCCCCAGGUAGCCAGCCCUCUGACCAGCAUCCUGUCCAAAGUGGACAUGACUCCUGAGGAGCUCUUCGGUGCACUGUCCGAAUCCCAGGGGCAGGCCAGCGGGCGGAAGGGCCUCUCCACUCAUCUGAACAGUCCAGCGGAAAACCUCUCCUCAAACUCCCCCAGUACAGGCAAGCUCCCUCCCUCCGCCUCCACCCCUACAGCACCCUCUCGAGGCCUUCCUCUCACCUCUUCUACGCUCGAACCAAACCCAUCAGCCCCUGCAGUGGGGAACACCACCGCCGUCCCUCAGGCAGCGUCCCUUCCCCAGUCCACAAUGCCUUUAGCCAUCGGCCCUCAUAGAGGGCCGGUCCUGGGGCAGGAGAAAGAAGAAAAGCCUUCCGCUUCCAGCCUGGAGUCCAAGAUCCACAGCUUCCUGCAGGGUAAUCCUGGCUUUAAUGCCUUUAACCUGGGUUUGGCUAGUGUGGCCGUCCAAGCGGGAGGCAGAACCCUCAGCCCCUUAGCGGGUACAGAGACCCAGGGGGGCACUCCGGUACGGGACGAGGCCGGAGGAGGCACCCCCACCCUGGAUGAGAUCAUGGACACUCCGGGAGGAGCAGAGCCCUUCCUGGCCAAACAAGGUCAUGUCUCUGGGGUUCCUAAACCAGAAGAUGGCAGCCUGUCUCUGUCUCCAACUGCCUGCCAUAACCAAGCUUGGCAGGAUCCCCACAACACUCAUGGCCAUUUAGGACUACAUCCAGGAGCGCCUAAUGGUCAAGGGUACCACCAGUUGCCUUAUGAAGGGAAGGAAGAGAUGCAUGGAAUAGCUCCUUCUCUCAGAGAGUCUGGAAUGGCCCAUUACCAGCCCAUCACGACACAGGUGUCAGCCCCAACCCUUGGGGAGGGGUUACUCAGUAACACACCAGGAGGGCCUCCGGCAGGGCCAAACGCUGACGUGAGUGAAGGAGGAUGGUAUGGUAAUCCCUACCCAGAGGGACAGGCCCUGCAUCCCAGCAACCACAACAUGGCUGCCUCAGGUGCAGGAGAUGGCAAAACCCCCAUGUCAGGACUGUAUGCAUACCAGGGGGAGGGGCAGACGCAGCCCUACCAAACAAGGGAUCCUCAUGCUCUGCCUUUCCAGCAGGGGGCCAACCCCUCAAGCUUCCUCAACAGCCCUCUGCCCCCAAUUCCCCAGCUGCCCCCACCGCCCUUCCCUGGGAUACCAGCCCCACUGCAGGACUACCAGGGCCCGCCCGCGUCUGUGAUGGUGCCUGUGGAGGCAACUUCACCAAACCCUGAGAUUGAGGAUGACAGGGCGGGCGUCAGUACAUUGGGUGGUCCGGUGAUUAUCAGUGACCCCUAUCACCCUGAUGACUUUCGCCGUCACCCAGAUGUCCUUCAUCGCCAUGCAGAUGACCCAUAUCACCCUGACGAUUUCCGUCGUCACCCCGAUGACCUCCACGGCCACGCCGAUCUACUCCGUCAGCCUGACAACCUGCAUCACCUUGACGACUUCCAUCGCCAUCCCGAUGACCUCCGCCGGCACCCUCACGAUCUCUGUCACCCAGAUGAUCGCUAUUAUCACCCAGAUGAUUUCCACCAUCUACCUGUAGACGAUCCUCAUUAUCCUUAUAGAGUCAGAGAGCGCCUCACCCCCCCCCCCUCUCCCUCAGAAGACCCUUACUACUAUAACUACCCUCCACGCAGCCCUUCCCCUCCAUAUGGUCACAGACACCCCCUUCCCCCUCACAUGAACCUGCACCACCCUGACCACAUGCCCCUGCCUCCCCAUCCUCUCCACCUAGCUCGCCAUCCACACCUGAGAGGCCUCCCGCGGGGACCCCCACGCCCACCUCUCUAUAGCCCCAUGUUCAGGGGGAAACGGCCUGGGCCUCCUUUUGGUGGACACCCCAGAGGUGGGGGGCCAGGUGGUCCGUUCUUUCCCCCAAAAAGACCACACCUACCUCCGCGGUUCUGACUUGUCAACUGACUUGGUUCACAUCAAAUUAGUGCUUAGUCUACCGGAAUGUCAUUGAGGCAGGCGACGUGACACAUGGAGGGGUAGAAGAGGAGGCGGAUAAGAAAUUAGUUGGGGAAAGAAGCUGAAGACUUCAGGUGUACUUUUUAAACCAAUAAGGGGAGCGGAGAAGAGGCCUGAGGAAUAGAUGAGUACAGUUGAAGGAGAAGUGGAGGAGUAAAUUGGGAGGAUCUUAAGGAAGAGAGGAUGAGUGAAGACGUGGAUCUGGAGCAAGAGGGAAUGGAGAAGUCGGCCUGAACAACGGAGAUGCAGCGGAAUAAAAGAAGAUAAGAGUGAUAUGGUGACCUGUGUAAGGAGUGGGAAACUGCUGGCAUGAGUGACGAGACAACAAGGACCGAUAUCUCCUCAACGUCCACUAACCCGGGUAAUGAAACGUUUAACACCGCCAAAGAAAUACUAAAUACAGGGGAGUUUCUCUGACACAGAUAAAUCCUAAUCAUGGUCUAAAAUUCUAGCUCAAGUGAGAAUCUCUAUUGAAAAUGCUUGUGUGUCCAGGAUUAGGCAUAAUCUGUGUCUGGGAUAUCUCCCAUGUAUGACUGGCCUUGUGUUGGCCAUAAUUUAGUUGAAGAAAGUAAUUUUAUUGAUAAUUUCCACGGAUUUGAAACAAUUUAAGUCAAGAUACUGUACGUAGUUAUUCAAGCACCCUCUAGUGGUGCAAUGUGUCUUAUUUGAGAAGAACCACAAUGAUAUUGUCAGGGUGGUGGUAUGAUUGACUAAGGCUGCUUCCCAAAUGGUACCCCGGUCAAAAGUAGUGCACUAUAUAGGUAACCUCAUUCCCAGACACUUCUGCCCAAAUGCAUGGAAGGUCUAGUGGACCAAUACGUCAAACUAAGCAUUCGUUAGCCAAUAAGAAAGAUGUGAAUCUCCCGGCGUGAUAGGCAUUGGCUUAAUCUACCAACCAAUCAUCUCCCCCUACAGCUUCCUCCAUGUGUCUUUGUGCACCUCUGUCGUAUCAGAGAGGACGAGGCGAAGCGAAAGAUUUGAAUCCUCCCAAAAUCUGUCCACGAAAAAUAAGCCCACAAGUUGAGUAAUUUUUGUAUGGAGUGUCGAAUUUGGUCAACAAUUUUUUUUUUAUUGCUAAUUUGCUACUUGAGGCUUAUUUGAGCUAAUGUAAGUCUAGUAAUGGUUAGGUUGUUACGAAUGGCAUUUCGGCAACUUGACCACAAAUGUACUUUAUAUCGUAGUAGUGCCUGUUGUCAUAGAGCUAGUGGAGUCAUCAUGGACAUAACCCGUUUUAACAUGGUUUACUGCCCUCACCGUUUUAACAUGGAUACAGCCAUUGAAGGCUUCCACAAUUCCACCAUGGGUGGGAAAUCCUCUGAGCCAAUAAAGAUUGCCUCAAUGGCGCUAUAAUGGCACAGCUACAAAGAUGAGUCCUCUGUCUAGCUCUAUGGCCUCUUCACACACUUAUCUCCUUUUUCAUUGGCUAGAAUGAUCCCACCUGAUCUCGCUUCCUCCCCCCCUGCCUUCCAUGUAUUUCCAUUGUUGGAGUGGUAUAUCUACUAUCUUGUCAAUAUAAUAGUCAAUCUUUGGUUGUAUCGGUCUGAUGUCUUGGCAAUAAAGAGAUUGUAACUCUUAUUGCGAUAGUCCCCCCAUGCGACACACAUCGACCACAGAUUUUAAUGGUGUAGGUUUUCUUCUCUGUGAAGCCAUUGGCUGGCUAGCUAGCUAUUUUCUUUGCUAAUUAGCAAGCUGGAAGUUUUGUUUUUGCUAGCACACUGGCACAAGUUCCUGCCCGGGUCAUGCCUCCCUUUGGAGCAACGCCUUGCGGUCGUGUGAUUCGCUCAAGUUAAAUGAUGACAAAUACUUUACUCAAUAAGUCACUCACAUAGAAUUGCAUGAUCAUUCACACUAGGCCCACUUUGCAUCGUUGAUAUCCUAGGCUCAUAUGCGAUGUGCCCAAUAGUAAUGAGGUUACUAUAAAUUGAAUAGGGGCCCAUUCGGGACACAUUGAGCCUAAUGUGUACCUGCUAAGCUCAACUAGCCAACUGGCUGUAUUGUUAUGACUGAUUUGCUGUGUGUAACUUUGUCCCAUCUCUUUGAAUGUCUCUUGAGGAGAGAGGUCAAAGUGAGGAGGAGAACCAGAGGGGAGCAGAGUGGUUGAGAGACGGCUAAAGGACAUGUCACUUAGCCAGGGACAGGAAGUACAGCCAGAAUGAGUGAGCUUGGUGCCGCAAACAUGAGACCAGACAGUCAAAAAAAAUGAGAAUGGAGGAAAUGUCGUCUUAAGACCAGUCCUGGUAGAAUUCUUAGACGCUUCCUAACGGCAGACAUCACGGCUUGUUACAACCUAAGGGAGCAUAUAGAUCGACAGGGAGGGAGACACCGGUUUACGACGUCAAAGGCAACGGAGUACACAGAGCCAGCCAACGCGGGAGCGAGCGGCAGCAAUAGUCUACCAUUUCCUGUGUUGGAUCAUAGGGAGCCUUUUAUUAUAACCACAAACCGCUUGAGAAAUCCCAAAGAGGUUGUCAUUUUUUUUUCGAAAAUCCAAUUUUGUGUGUAUUUAGUGGAAAACCGGGUUUGUACACAUACCACAAAUCAAAACUACGAGAUAAAGCAUCACACGCUCAUGUUUAUGGAUAAAGGACGUCGUCGCUUGGAUUUGUUCGGUGCGCUCUUUUGGGGGUAACUUGUCAAGGCACGGAUUCAGAGGGGUCCUACAUUAGACAAAUUUAAUUGAACAGGAGAAUAGACAGAAACCGAAAAUAAACCCUAUUUGACAAGGGACAGAGGAGAACGGGUGAUUCUGCUCUCAACUAACUGCGAGACGAAGGAGAGAGGAUCAAGGAGGAAUAGUAGGACCGAGUUGAAACCUUCGCCCGUCAUCUCCACAUUGUCCGAAGAUCUAUAGGUCCUCCCCGCUCCUUCUGACCACAUUUCCAGUGUCUGUCCUCGGUGCGCACAUCCCCGCUCCCAC